UCAAUAAGCGGAGGAAAAGGACCUUCUUGAAAGAUGGACAACGGGUUGUAAUUUGGAGACCGAACUUCGUGCAAAACCGCCUUCCGAGACCACUGGAAGGUGGCGCCAGAGAGGGUGAGAGCCCCGUAUUGUUGGAACCGCGCAGGUGUGAAGUUCCUUCGACGAGUCGAGUAGUUUGGAAAUGCUGCUCUAAAUGGGAGGUAAAUUCCUUCUAAAGCUAAAUACCGGCCCGAGACCGAUAGCGCACAAGUAGAGUGAUCGAAAGAUGAAAAGCACUUUGAAAAGAGAGUCAAAUAGCACGUGAAAUUGUUGAAAGGGAAGGAACUGUGACCAGACUUGCGCCGCGCGGRAUCUCCCGGUGUUCUCACCGGUGUACUCCGCGCGGUUCAGGCCAGCAUCGGUUUUGGGCGGGGGACAAAAGCAGCGGGAACGUAGCUCCCCCGGGAGUGUUAUAGCCUGCCGCGGAAUACCCCGCCGGGACCGAGGGCCUGCGUUUUCUCGGAUGCUGGCGUAAUGGUCACUGAUCACCCGUCUUGAACACGGACCACUGUUUAUCAAUAAG
rnacentral:rRNA from 1 species